rnacentral:rRNA from 1 species
UACGUAGGUGGCGAGCGUUAUCCGGAAUGAUUGGGCGUAAAGGGUGCGUAGGCGGCCUGCUAAGUCUGGAGUGAAAGGUACCGGCUCAACCGGUACAGGCUCUGGAAACUGGCGGGCUAGAGAGCAGGAGAGGGCGGUGGAACUCCAUGUGUAGCGGUAAGAUGCGUAGAUAUAUGGAGGAACACCGGUGGCGAAAGCGGCUCUCUGGCCUGUAACUGACACUGAGGCUCGAAAGCGUGGGGAGCAAACAGG